rnacentral:rRNA from 1 species
GAUCAUGGCUCAGGAUGAACGCUGGCGGCGUGCUUAACACAUGCAAGUCGAACGGGAAACCUUUUAUUGAAGCUUCGGCAGAUUUAGCUGGUUUUUAGUGGCGGACGGGUGAGUAACGCGUGGGUAACCUGCCUUAUACAGGGGGAUAACAGUCAGAAAUGACUGCUAAUACCGCAUAAGCGCACAGGACCGCAUGGUCCGGUGUGAAAAACUCCGGUGGUAUAAGAUGGACCCGCGUUGGAUUAGCUUG